GGAAAGCAAACAAUGCAUGAGUCAGACACAUGCUUGUGUAUGUAUGGAGGGGAGAAAAUCAGGUGCAGUGUUGGUGAAUCCCAGAAAGCAUGGAAGUCCCGAAGGAUGCAGCGCUCCGACAACCAACAACCGAUGCCGGCAGCCUGUUCCAUGCUUCAGCAACUCUCAGCGUGAAAAAAUGUUUCCUGAAGUCAUGGGAGCUGGAUGGUUAAAU